UACGGGGGAGCAAGCGUUGUUCGGAUUUACUGGGCGUAAAGGGCGCGUAGGCGGCCACCGCAAGUCGGUUGUGAAAUCUCCGGGCUUAACCCGGAAAGGUCAAUCGAUACUGCGGGGCUAGAGUGCAGAAGGGGCAACUGGAAUUCCUGGUGUAGCGGUGAAAUGCGCAGAUAUCAGGAGGAACACCGGUGGCGAAGGCGGGUCUCUGGGCCGAUACUGACGCUGAGGAGCGAAAGCGUGGGGAGCGAACAGG
rnacentral:rRNA from 1 species